rnacentral:rRNA from 1 species
CGCAGUGACAGGUGGUGCAUGGCUGUCGUCAGCUCGUGUCGUGAGAUGUUGGGUUAAGUCCCGCAACGAGCGCAACCCACGUCUUUAGUUGCCAGCAUUUAGUUGGGCACUCUAGAGAGACCGCCGGUGACAAACCGGAGGAAGGUGUGGAUGACGUCAAGUCAUCAUGCCCCUUACGUCCUGGGCUACACACGUACUACAAUGCUACGGACAAAGAGCAGCUAACUCGCGGGGGUACGCAAAUCUCAUAAACCGUGGCUCAGUUCAGAUCGUAGGCUGCAACUCGCCUACGUGAAGGAGGAAUCGCUAGUAAUCGCAGGUCAGCAUACUGCGGUGAAUACGUUCCCGGGCCUUGUACACACCGCCCGUCACACCAUGGAAGUUGGCCACGCCCGAAGUCGUUACUCCAACCCUCUGGGAGGAGGACGCCGAAGGUGGGGCUGAUGACUGGGGUGAAGUCGUAACAAGGUAGCA